AUUAAGCAUAUCAAUAAGCGGAGGAAAAGAAACCAACAGGGAUUGCCUUAGUAACGGCGAGUGAAGCGGCAAAAGCUCAAAUUUGAAAUCUAGCACUUUCAGUGUUCGAGUUGUAAUUUGAAGAAGGUAACUUUGGAAUUGGCUCUUGUCUAUGUUCCUUGGAACAGGACGUCACAGAGGGUGAGAAUCCCGUGCGAUGAGAUGUCCAAUUCUAUGUAAAGUGCUUUCGAAGAGUCGAGUUGUUUGGGAAUGCAGCUCUAAGUGGGUGGUAAAUUCCAUCUAAAGCUAAAUAUUGGCGAGAGACCGAUAGCGAACAAGUACAGUGAUGGAAAGAUGAAAAGAACUUUGAAAAGAGAGUGAAAAAGUACGUGAAAUUGUUGAAAGGGAAGGGCUUGAGAUCAGACUUGGUAUUUUGUGUUCCUUAUUCUUUUUGGAUUUGGUUCCUCACAGCUUACCGGGCCAGCAUCGGUUUGGAUGGUAGGAUAAUGACAUUGGAAUGUAGCUUUGCUUCGGUGAAGUGUUAUAGACUUUGUUGAUACUGCCUAUCUAGACCGAGGACUGCGUCUUUGACUAGGAUGCUGGCGUAAUGAUCUUAAGCCGCCCGUCUG
rnacentral:rRNA from 1 species